CUUUCCUUGAUGACGACUGGCGCACGGGUGAGUAACGCGUAUCCAACCUUCCCAUAACUACGGGAUAACCCGUUGAAAGACGGCCUAAUACCGUAUGACAUCGUUUGCUGACAUCAAAUAACGAUUAAAGGUUUAGCGGUUAUGGAUGGGGAUGCGUCUGAUUAGCUUGUUGGCGGGGUAACGGCCCACCAAGGCUACGAUCAGUAGGGGUUCUGAGAGGAAGGUCCCCCACAUUGGAACUGAGACACGGUCCAAACUCCUACGGGAGGCAGCAGGA
rnacentral:rRNA from 1 species